UAACCAGGGAGCAAACUGAAAGACCAGUGAGAGCGCAGGUCCGGGAUAGCAGAAGUGGAAACAUUGUUCUCCAAGAGGGGAACCCCGCCUGUAACUGCAGAGCAAGCUGCAAGACCAGUAAGGGCAGAGGUCUGGGAGAGCAGGAGUGGAACACAUUACUCUUCUGCGGGAGGUCAGCUGCCUCUACCUCAAAAGGUGAAGGGUCUGGAGUCUAGAGGACAAGAAUAUGCCCAAGUCGUCAUCAGAGGAUCGCAUCAUCCCAAGUCCUGUGUGUGAUGAGGGCUGCUGGACCACUGAGACCAGGCUGAAGAAAACUCCACUUGGAAUUGAUUGGCCAAGACGAGGUUCAGUCCUGAGUCCAUUACAUCCUUUGCCUGCUGCUUGAAGAUUUCAUAAAGGAAGACUUUUGGAUGACCUCGCUUCACAUUGCACCAGAUACACUGAUUUAUGAAAGUGCACCCACGU